GAUGAAGAACGUAGCGAAAUGCGAUAAGUAAUGCGAAUUGCAGAAUUCCGUGAAUCAUCGAAUCUUUGAACGCACAUUGCGCCCCCUGGCAUUCCGGGGGGCAUGCCUGUCCGAGCGUCAUUUCUGCCCUCCAGCCCGGCUGGGUGUUGGGCGCUGUCCCCCCGGGGACACGCCCCAAAGGCAGUGGCGGCGCCGCGUCGGGUCCUCGAGCGUAUGGGGCUUUGUCACCCGCUCGGGACGGACUCGUCGGCGCUGGUCUUCCUCCAGGCGACCCUUCGGGGCUCGUCUUCCUUCGGUUGACCUCGGAUCAGGUAGGGUUACCCGCUGAACUUAAGCAUAUCAAUAAGCGGAGGA
rnacentral:misc_RNA from 1 species